rnacentral:rRNA from 1 species
CCUACGGGUGGCUGCAGUCGGGAAUUUUGUGCAAUGGGCGAAAGCCUGACACAGCAACGCCGCGUGAAGGAUGAAGUCCCUCGGGAUGUAAACUUCGGAAGUAUGGGAAGAAUAAAUGACGGUACCAUACCUAAGGUCCGGCUAACUACGUGCCAGCAGCCGCGGUAAUACGUAGGGACCAAGCGUUGUUCGGAUUUACUGGGCGUAAAGGGUGCGUAGGCGGCGUGUCAAGUCACUUGUGAAAUCUCCGAGCUUAACUCGGAACAGCCAAGUGA